UACGUAGGGGGCUAGCGUUGUCCGGAAUCAUUGGGCGUAAAGCGCGUGUAGGCGGUCCGGUAAGUCCGCUGUGAAAGUCGGGAGCUCAACCCUCGAAUGCCGGUGGAUACUGUCGGGCUAGAGUGCGGAAGAGGCGAGUGGAAUUCCUGGUGUAGCGGUGAAAUGCGCAGAUAUCAGGAGGAACACCAAUUGCGAAGGCAGCUCGCUGGGACGUUACUGACGCUGAGACGCGAAAGCGUGGGGAGCAAACAGG
rnacentral:rRNA from 1 species